rnacentral:rRNA from 1 species
GGGUUGUGAGGUUAAGCGACUAAGCGUACACGGUGGAUGCCCUGGCAGUCAGAGGCGAUGAAGGACGUGCUAAUCUGCGAUAAGCGUCGGUGAGGUGAUAUGAACCGUUAUAACCGGCGAUUUCCGAAUGGGGAAACCCAGUGUGUUUCGACACACUAUCAUUAACUGAAUCCAUAGGUUAAUGAGGCGAACCGGGGGAACUGAAACAUCUAAGUACCCCGAGGAAAAGAAAUCAACCGAGAUUCCCCCAGUAGCGGCGAGCGAACGGGGAGGAGCCCAGAGCCUGAAUCAGUGUGUGUGUUAGUGGAAGCGUCUGGAAAGGCGCGCGAUACAGGGUGACAGCCCCGUACACAAAAAUGCACAUAUUGUGAGCUCGAUGAGUAGGGCGGGACACGUGGUAUCCUGUCUGAAUAUGGGGGGACCAUCCUCCAAGGCUAAAUACUCCUGACUGACCGAUAGUGAACCAGUACCGUGAGGGAAAGGCGAAAAGAACCCCGGCGAGGGGAGUGAAAAAGAACCUGAAACCGUGUACGUACAAGCAGUGGGAGCCUCUUUUAUGGGGUGACUGCGUACCUUUUGUAUAAUGGGUCAGCGACUUAUAUUCUGUAGCAAGGUUAACCGAAUAGGGGAGCCGAAGGGAAACCGAGUCUUAACUGGGCGUUAAGUUGCAGGGUAUAGACCCGAAACC